UCCCUCAAGCGUGCUCACCCACCCAAGUAAGAAGGGGCAGCACUGCGCUCUCUCCAUAAGAGCGGCUCUGCGAUCAGGAAUUAUUCAUUCUUUCUUCUCACCUCCAUCUGUAAGGAACAGUUGUCCAGCACAGCACAGGAGUACAGAGAGGACACACGAUAACACACACACAGUAGAACAUGUCAGACUCAGAGACCGCCGCUCCCGCUGAGACCCCCGUCCCUGCCGCCUGUGAGGCCAUCAAGGCUGAUCUGGACAAAUGUAUAAAGGAGAACGGAGAAGCGGCUUGUAAGGAGCUAAUGGAGGCAUUUGCUGCCUGUGUAAAGAGCAGUGCUGAGGGCUCAUGAGGAGCUCCAGACACAGGACAUGUCCACUGCACUGAGUCCUCCACCUUCCCAGCAUUCCCUUCAGCACUGGACUGAAUGACUCUGGUGGGAUUUGGCAGCAGAACCCACGUGCCCCCCCUCCCCCACCCUCCCUUAGAGCUGAAACUGAAUCUUCCUGCCCCUCCUGUCCUUUGCAGCCAAAUGUGUCGAUCUAAUCUGUAGACAGUUUGGGAAAGCCCAUGGGUUUUAUGUAAAUUGUCUGUUUUAUUCACUUAAUGGUGAAAUAAAGUUUAAAAGAUUGAUAAGA